CCUUCUACCUCAGCCUCCUGCGUAACUGGGACUGCAGGGCUUGUGCGAAAUGAUUAACACAUACUCUGCUAUGAUAUCUUCACAACAACUGGAGCUAAAUAUUAUUAUCCUCAUGAUCCAUGGCCACUGCAAGUUCUCCACCCCUCCACAAGAAUAAGGCUGUUUCAAGCAGUAUCCUGCCCACAUCCCAACCUACCCACCUGCGAGGGAUGAACCACCCAACCAAAAGGAGAGUGCAUUUCCCUCACCUGUGUAAGAUUGAUUUUCCCAGCUACUACCUCUGAGCCACAAGUUUUCUGUUGUACACAGAUUUAUUCCAGUUAGCUUCAGCUUUGCAGACAGUUAGCAGGGUAGUUCUACUUUGAUCUUCCAGCCAAUCCCAGCCACAAGUGGGAGAUGUGAGUUUGGACCAGAGCCAAAUCCUUGGGAGGAGCAAGAAGAGACUUCGAGCUACUACCAUUCUCUUUUAUUCAUGGGGUGUUUAAUCUCACCUAUAAAUAGAUGCUGACCAGUAGAAAUUCAGUUUAAUAGGACCAAAUAUUUCAGGACAGCCAAGGGCAUCCACAUAUUCUGUUCCACCUCGAACUAGAAGAAACCUUCCUGUAGAAGCUGCUGGACUCAGAUGGGUCUACACUGACUUCCUGGAGCCUGUGUGCAUCCAGCCCUCCCUGCUCUAGGUGGGGAAUGUCAUUGUUGUACUGAAGGGCUUUCGCUCAUUCACUUUCAAAUCAAAUUUGUUUUUUUCCGCAUGUAGCCUGCACUGAGUUGGGACAGCCUUCCCUGCAGUCCUGUACCACCUGCAGUCUAUUGUGUGGCAAUUCCUCAAAGUCUGCAGAACAGAUACAAUUUUUUGUUUUGCUAUGUCAUCCACAUGGUAACUGGUGUUUCAGCCAAAGUCUAACCUGGAAACAGAAACCACCUGAUUAUUUAGACCAGAGAAUCUUUAAUGCAGGGAAUGGGCUACCCACAGAGAUGGGGUCAUGAAAGCAACAGCAGGAAGCCGCCACCAUGCCCAGGUUGGAGGACAGGGGCGCAAGGUCACCCAUGCAGGAAUGCUAGGCCUGAUUACCCGGAUUCUCCCUCCACCUCCCCCUGCAGCUGCCAGAAGAGACCUGCCCAGGAAGAGGGAACCCAACCUCUCCCUUCAGUUCUCCAAGCUCCUCUGGCGCCUCCUAUCGGCUUAACCUGGCUGUCAACAGGGCCCAGAACCUGGGAAACUGAGUUUAUGGUCAGCCUCCUUCUGCACCCAGAUAGAGCAGGGAGAGGUUAAAGGAAGGAUCUGCAGGCAAACCGGCCCAGGGCCAGCAGGCUCCUCCCCAUCCAAAUCACUUUUAAAACCCGGGUGCACUCACCAAGAUUUCUGUGAAUCCCCAGGAGAGCUGUUCAGGUCCA